rnacentral:rRNA from 1 species
GAUGAACGCUAGCGGCAGGCCUAAUACAUGCAAGACGAACGGCAAGAUUUUUAGCAAUAAGAAUCCUAUAGUGUCGUAAGGGUGCGUAACACGUAUGCAAUCUGCCCUCAACAGGAGGAUAGCUCCCCGAAAGGGGAAUUAACACUCCAUAAUAAGGAGAUGUGGCAUCACAUUUCUUUUAAAACUACGGUGGUUGAGGAUGAGCAUGUGUAUGAUUAGUUAGUUGGCGGGGUAAUGGCCCACCAAGACGAUGAUCAUUAGGGGAACUGAGAGGUUGAUCCGCCACACUGGCUCUGAGAUACGGGCCAGACGCCUACGGGAGGCAGCAGUAGGGAAUAUUGGACAAUGGGUGCGAGCCUGAUCCAGCCAUGCCGCGUGCAGGAAGACGGCCUUCUGGGUUGUAAACUGCUUUUGCCAGGGGAUAAAACGUCCAUGCGUGGAUAAUUGAAGGUACCUGGUGAAUAAGCCACGGCUAACUACGUGCCAGCAGCCGCAGUAAAAC